UACGGAGGGUGCGAGCGUUGUCCGGAAUCACUGGGCGUAAAGGGCGCGUAGGCGGCGCGGUAAGCACGCGGUGAAAGCCCGGGGCUCAACCCCGGGUCGGCCGUGCGGACUGCCGCGCUGGAGCACUGUAGAGGCGGGCGGAAUUCCGGGUGUAGCGGUGGAAUGCGUAGAUAUCGGGAGGAACACCAGUGGCGAAGGCGGCUUCCUGGCCUGUUCUUGACGCUGAGGCGCGAAAGCUAGGGGAGCAAACGGG
rnacentral:rRNA from 1 species